rnacentral:siRNA from 1 species
GCGUGAUCACAUAAAA